rnacentral:misc_RNA from 1 species
AAGUCGUAACAAGGUUUCCGUAGGUGAACCUGCGGAAGGAUCAUUAUAGAAUUAUAAGCGAGGGUUGUCGCUGGCCUUUCGGGGCAUGUGCACGCCCGAGCUCUUAAAUCCACAACACACCUGUGAACCCACCGUAGGCCUUCGGGCUUAUGCAUUUAUACUCUGUAUGUGUCAUAGAAUGUCAUGUUGCAUUAAAAACGCAAUUAAAUACAACUUUCAACAACGGAUCUCUUGGCUCUCGCAUCGAUGAAGAACGCAGCGAAAUGCGAUAAGUAAUGUGAAUUGCAGAUUUUCAGUGAAUCAUCGAAUCUUUGAACGCACCUUGCGCUCCUUGGUAUUCCGAGGAGCAUGCCUGUUUGAGUGUCAUUAAAUCAUCAACCCCACCGAUUUGUUUCGGCUUGGGGCUUGGACUUGGAGCGUGCUGGCGAAGGUCGGCUCCUCUUUAAAUGCGUCAGCGGAAGAAUGCACCUUUUUUCCCUUCAGCGUGAUAAUCCUGUUGCGCUGUGUGUGGGUCAAAGGUGUUCCGCUUAUAAUCGUCCUUCGGACAAACGAACCCAUCUAUUUUUGACCUCAAAUCAGGUAGGACUACCCGCUGAACUUAAGCAUAUCAAUAAGCGGAGGAAAAGAAACUAACAAGGAUUCCCCUAGUAACUGCGAGUGAAGCGGGAAAAGCUCAAAUUUAAAAUCUGGCGGUCCCCUGGCCGUCCGAGUUGUAAUCUGGAGAA